rnacentral:lncRNA from 1 species
UUGUAUCCGGAACAUUAGUACCUUUUCAAUGCUAGCCUUCAUCAUCAUAACAUAUCAACUCCAAAAUCUACACGCAAGAUGACAUGUUUGCACAUACAAAUCUCGAUCCCACGUAACACACCACAUCUAUCAUUUCAUGAUAUGAAAAGUACGAGAAUCUCUUAAUCCACUUCAAGUCAAAAGCAAACUACUUACUUAAUUAGCCAUGAACCGUCAAUUUAAUCUCCUCCAGGAGAAAAUCACAAUCCGCACCAUGCUGCUCACACUAGUAGGAAAUAUCCACCUCGAACCAUGAUAGAAAUCAUCGAGAAUCCAUUGGAAUCCAUUUGCACAUAACCAGACAAUCAGAAUUGAAUCUCUGUAACUCCAUCAAGCCACGCGGGUCACCAAAAUCCAAGAGUACUGCUACAAAACUCCUGUACGGAUUCACCACAUCAUGAGAAGCAAAAGGAUAGAGCAUACCGUUAUGCAGGGACUUUAGACGCUAGGGGCACAUCCAAUGCAGUCGGUUUCAGCUGCACAGGACUUUGUGGUUCCUGUCAUGCCAGAUGAUGAGCAGCAACGGUUGGAUAUAUUUGGUAAGUUGCAGCCUCUGACCUUCAUUGGCAUCGAGGGCGAGGAGGCCUCGUAGACCGAGUAAAUCUGGUGGUCCUUAUAUUUUAGGCAGUGUGAGGCAUGGCAAAGGUUUUGUAUGAUAGCUAGUUGAGUUCACACUUCAUGCUUUGCAUAGUGACUCAGGUGUGUACGCGUACCGCACAGUUCCUACAGCCUCGUUACUCAGAGAAUGUUGUAGACAUUGGGCCGAUGUUUCACAACGAGGUAUUUAGGAGAUAAGAGGGUGCCCAAGAGGGGGAGGCCCGACUCGUUGAUGUGUUUCAUAUAGUAGGCUUAAGGCUGCUAUGCCAGUUG